UCUCAGGCCUGCCGUUUAUGGGUCGCAACCCAAAUGACUCAUCACUCCCUUCGUAGUUAGAAUAUACAUCGCAUCACACAGUGUGCAGUGUGAAGGCUGCUAUGUAUGUCAAUUUAUGACUUCAAUGUAUGACAAAAACAAGAAGGAUUAUUUGUUUUUUAGUUUUCUUUUUACUCUUUUCUUGACGUUCGUUAAUUCAGUGUAAGUUUUAAACCAAACAGCAGUUUGGAGCUGAUAAGGAAUCGACACCAUGGACUGGGGAACCGACCUUUGGAUCUUCAAGUUCUAUUGGCCCAUGCUGUACCUUACUCAGCUACCCGGCAUGGUCCUUCUCGCACUCCUAAAUGGUGAAAGCAACAUGCGGACAAUAAUAAUCUGUGUUGGGGUUCUAUUACUGACUUUAAUCCUUAUUGCAUAUGGAAUUUACACUUUUGUCACGCGCUGACGAUCUGAGAGUUACACCAUAUAGACUAAUGGUGAUAUCUCUAUGUCACUAUUGAAGUAGAAUGAUGGAAAAGUGGUGAUGUUACCGGUGUUGUAAUGUAACGGAGUACAAAUACUUUGUUACUGUACUUUCGAAAUUUCACAUAUCUGCUCUUUACUUCGCUAUUUAAAUUUAUGUCAACUUUCACUUUUACUCCACUACAUUUCCUAGAUAAAAUGUAUACUUUUACUCCGAAAUAUUAAGUGCCCCUUAUGCC